rnacentral:rRNA from 1 species
CCGGAACUGUCAAGCUAGAGUGCAGGAGAGGAAGGUAGAAUUCCCGGUGUAGCGGUGAAAUGCGUAGAGAUCGGGAGGAAUACCAGUGGCGAAGGCGGCCUUCUGGACUGACACUGACACUGAGGUGCGAAAGCGUGGGUAGCAAACAGGAUUAGAUACCCUGGUAGUCCACGCCGUAAACGAUGUCGACCAGCCGUUGGGUGCCUAGCGCACUUUGUGGCGAAGUUAACGCGAUAAGUCGACCGCCUGGGGAGUACGGCCGCAAGGUUAAAACUCAAAUGAAUUGACGGGGGCCCGCACAAGCGGUGGAGCAUGUGGUUUAAUUCGAUGCAACGCGAAGAACCUUACCUACUCUUGACAUCCUGCGAAUUUGGUAGAGAUACCUUAGUGCCUUCGGGAACGCAGAGACAGGUGCUGCAUGGCUGUCGUCAGCUCGUGUUGUGAAAUGUUGGGUUAAGUCCCGUAACGAGCGCAACCCUUGUCCUUAUUUGCCAGCGCGUAAUGGCGGGAACUCUAAGGAGACUGCCGGUGACAAACCGGAGGAAGGUGGGGACGACGUCAAGUCAUCAUGGCCCUUACGAGUAGGGCUACACACGUGCUACAAUGGUCGGUACAAAGGGUUGCCAACUCGCGAGAGUGAGCCAAUCCCGAAAAGCCGAUCUCAGUCCGGAUCGGAGUCUGCAACUCGACUCCGUGAAGUCGGAAUCGCUAGUAAUCGUGGAUCAGAAUGCCACGGUGAAUACGUUCCCGGGCCUUGUACACACCGCCCGUCACACCAUGGGAGUGGACUGCACCAGAAG